GAUAUCAAUUUUGUGAAUUAAAGUCUCUGUUGUGAGCAGUAUAUAUUUAUAACAUAAUUGAUAAUUAAUUAUAACAAUGUCACACGGGUUUAUUCACCCAAAACAUGACGAUUAUAAAACAAUGAAAUUAGUGAGUAAUUAAAACCGAGGUAAGUUAUCAUGUCUAUCAAGUAGAUACUCUGGUUCUGGUAUUGACACGCAUAAAUGAAUUUAAUUUAAAAGAACAUCAAUCAUCGUGUGAUGUUGAUAUUUUAUAAAAUUGCAGAGCUAUAAGCUUUUAUAUUGACAGUUCCAGAUUUAAAUGCACACAUAAAUACUUUCUCAAGUGUAUGAUGUGAAUUUUAGUAUGGAUCUCUGUAUUAGAGGGUGUCAUACUCAUAGUGCUCGAGUUGAUGGGACGAACUGGAACGGAUUGAAAGCUAUGAUGUAGAUUCAGGAUCGAGUGUCGUAAUGCCAGUACAAACACACUGAUGAAACGUAACACCGGGCGUUAAUGGAUUCUACUUGAGAGUGCUGACAGUACAGAGAAGAACAGCACAGAAGCACAGACACCCAAGCACACAGCUAGAGCUGCUACCUCGAGAAAAUAAUGUCACUCUAAGAGAAACUCUUGUACAUUUUUUACAAGUCAAGUGAAUUGCUGAAAACGAGAUGAGUCCAUGAUUUCUGCAACGAGCGCACUUGGGCCGUCUUUGUUUACCAUCCUCUUCAUCAUGAUCUUUCUUCGCGGACUUUCCUCUCAGCAUAUCACAGUUCUUUUCUUCUUUACUGUUGCCACCAACUACCACUACAACUCGUGAUUGCUUAACUAAAACACCAGCUGUGGAUCAGAAAGAGCUUACCUCGUAAAGUAUUAACCGGCAAUUGAAGAUUACUAUUGGCUGUGUAUAUCCUCGUGGAUUCACCGAGGGUGUCGACCAACG